rnacentral:rRNA from 1 species
GGAUUAGAUACCCUGGUAGUCCACGCCGUAAACGAUGAGAACUAGCCGUUGGAUCUUUAGAUUCAGUGGCGCAGCUAACGCAUUAAGUUCUCCGCCUGGGGAGUACGGCCGCAAGGCUAAAACUCAAAUGAAUUGACGGGGGCCCGCACAAGCGGUGGAGCAUGUGGUUUAAUUCGAUGCAACGCGAAGAACCUUACCAACCCUUGACAUCCAGUGGAAGUUUUAGAGAUAAAACUGUGCCUUUGGGAACACUGUGACAGGUGUUGCAUGGCUGUCGUCAGCUCGUGCCG